GAUUCUAUGGUUUAGUGGUUAGCACUCUGGACUUGGAAUCCAACGACCUUGGUUCAAUUCCGGUGGGGCCU
rfam:Picea glauca, whole genome shotgun sequence.